rnacentral:misc_RNA from 1 species
CAAAAAUUGAUCCAAUGAGAGAAAAUUUGGUUAGAUCUUUUAGAUUGAAGUGUUAGUGAACAAAACCUUACCCAUGCCAAUAACAAAAGCAUUAAUUCAAAAAGAGAAUGAAAACCUCCCCUUUACCUCUAUCUAUUUUACUCCCAUUCUCAGGGCUACUAAUGGAAAUAAAUAGCCAGAAAAGAUAUAUUUCACUACAUAAGGCUUGCUGAGUUCAGAUGAAAAUUUGCUCCACUACAUGGUUUUAAAUUGCAGUAGUGGCCACGUUCGUGGUUGCAGGUAACAGAAAUGGACUUGUAAUGGCCGUAACGUAACGGUCAGUCACUACGCAAAUUUUUUUUUUUUGGAAAAAUUUGCAAACUUCAUGAAACAAAUAACUAUUUAAAUAUAUAAUUAAAACUAAG